GAUCCCUGGAGAAGAUUAUGUUUUAAAGGUCACAGGAUACAUACAAAACAGGAAAUUGUGCUGCCGUGCUGCUCUUCCUCGUCUACAAUAACUGCACUUUCUGAUCACUUUCAUCACAUGAAGCAUUAUUUCCCUGAGGGGAGGCCAGAUGACAAGACACAAGUGAUCAUUGAGCCAUAAUUAUGUCACACAAAGGCAAACGGCCUCUAAAUCACUGGAUCGGAAUCCUUGUUAGCAUUAGUCGAUGUUCACUGUGAUGCCACUUCCAACAGCGUCCUAUUGAAAAUGUCCCGAUGACAUAAAAUAAUCUAUAACUUUGAUGAUGGAUUAAAAAUAAACCGUGGAAGCCAUGAAGAAGAUGAUACAGGUCUUUGGUUUGCCGUUCUUUAUUCAGCAGACAUGAGAUGCCUAAUCGCAGAGCUGGCAGUUUGGCAGAGUGGAGCAGGCGGGAUUUGCAGAGUAGGCUACUUACGUAAGAAGACCUCCAGGGGCAGACAUGGACCUCUCCGCCCGUCUGCGCUGACACUCAAAG